rnacentral:rRNA from 1 species
CUCGCUGCUUCGGCCUAUUCCGGUCGUUGUCAGUAUUUUUCUUUUACGGAGAGUUUGAUCCUGGCUCAGGAUGAACGCUGGCGGCGUGCUUAACACAUGCAAGUCGAACGGUGAAGCAGAGCUUGCUCUGUGGAUCAGUGGCGAACGGGUGAGUAACACGUGAGCAACCUGCCCCUGACUCUGGGAUAAGCGCUGGAAACGGCGUCUAAUACUGGAUAUGAGCUGCGACCGCAUGGUCAGCAGUUGGAAAGAUUUUUCGGUCUGGGAUGGGCUCACGGCCUAUCAGCUUGUUGGUGAGGUAAUGGCUCACCAAGGCGUCGACGGGUAGCCGGCCUGAGAGGGUGACCGGCCACACUGGGACUGAGACACGGCCCAGACUCCUACGGGAGGCAGCAGUGGGGAAUAUUGCACAAUGGGCGAAAGCCUGAUGCAGCAACGCCGCGUGAGGGAUGACGGCCUUCGGGUUGUAAACCUCUUUUAGCAGGGAAGAAGCGAAAGUGACGGUACCUGCAGAAAAAGCGCCGGCUAACUACGUGCCAGCAGCCGCGGUAAUACGUAGGGCGCAAGCGUUAUCCGGAAUUAUUGGGCGUAAAGAGCUCGUAGGCGGUUUGUCGCGUCUGCUGUGAAAUCCCGAGGCUCAACCUCGGGUCUGCAGUGGGUACGGGCAGACUAGAGUGCGGUAGGGGAGAUUGGAAUUCCUGGUGUAGCGGUGGAAUGCGCAGAUAUCAGGAGGAACACCGAUGGCGAAGGCAGAUCUCUGGGCCGUUACUGACGCUGAGGAGCGAAAGGGUGGGGAGCAAACAGGCUUAGAUACCCUGGUAGUCCACCCCGUAAACGUUGGGAACUAGUUGUGGGGUCCAUUCCACGGAUUCCGUGACGCAGCUAACGCAUUAAGUUCCCCGCCUGGGGAGUACGGCCGCAAGGCUAAAACUCAAAGGAAUUGACGGGGACCCGCACAAGCGGCGGAGCAUGCGGAUUAAUUCGAUGCAACGCGAAGAACCUUACCAAGGCUUGACAUAUACGAGAACGGGCCAGAAAUGGUCAACUCUUUGGACACUCGUAAACAGGUGGUGCAUGGUUGUCGUCAGCUCGUGUCGUGAGAUGUUGGGUUAAGUCCCGCAACGAGCGCAACCCUCGUUCUAUGUUGCCAGCACGUAAUGGUGGGAACUCAUGGGAUACUGCCGGGGUCAACUCGGAGGAAGGUGGGGAUGACGUCAAAUCAUCAUGCCCCUUAUGUCUUGGGCUUCACGCAUGCUACAAUGGCCGGUACAAAGGGCUGCAAUACCGUGAGGUGGAGCGAAUCCCAAAAAGCCGGUCCCAGUUCGGAUUGAGGUCUGCAACUCGACCUCAUGAAGUCGGAGUCGCUAGUAAUCGCAGAUCAGCAACGCUGCGGUGAAUACGUUCCCGGGUCUUGUACACACCGCCCGUCAAGUCAUGAAAGUCGGUAACACCUGAAGCCGGUGGCCCAACCCUUGUGGAGGGAGCCGUCGAAGGUGGGAUUGGUAAUUAGGACUAAGUCGUAACAAGGUAGCCGUACCGGAAGGUGCGGCUGGAUCACCUCCUUUCUAAGGAGCACUGCACUCUUCGGAGUGACAGAGCCGGUUUCGAGACGAAUGUUCUCGGCCGGAGCUCAUGGGUGGAACAUUUGACAAGG